UCUUGCUGCAAUCAUCUACUCAUUUUCCAUGGAAUCAUCUUUAAUUUUCUCUUUCUUCCCCAGAAAGUAGAGCUGGACUUUUCAACACCUUGCAGAUUAUUGCAAGGAAUGUUUUCCAAGUAAACCUAAGAAAAUAAAUUGAGAAAAGAAGUAUAAAAUGAAGAUGGGAUGUUUAUAAUUAGCUUAUAGAACAGGUGACUCAAGUGAAGAACAUGGAUUGAAAAUACUGGAAAAUCAGGAUUCUCAUUCCUGCAGAAAACCUUCAUUUGCUGCUAUCUACAAUCUACACCUGGCUUCUACAUGUUGAUGCUUUUAUGAUUGCUGUUGUUAGUCGCGAAGUCGUGUCUGAAGCAUUGUGACCCCAUAGACAACAUUUCUCCAGGCUUUCCUGUCCUCUACCAUCCCCCGGAGUCCAUUUAAGCUCAUGCUGACUGCUUUAUGAUUAAAGGGGUGAAGUUAUAGAUGGCGACUGUACCUGUUUAUUAAUCAAUUCUUCAACCAAGACAAUUUAACCAUGAUACAAUUUUGUGCCAUAGGGCGUAAAUCAAGUAUUUAUAAGUUCUAUUUAUUCAGAUUUAUGCUCAUCUCAUCAGGUGGAUGGUGGAUAUUAUGGUAAAAACUGAGCCCUAAGGAUCCCACAUAGAAUGAAUCUUGGACUAGAUUUCUUACAUCUUAUCAACACCAACCUAUUAGUUCCUAGGAAAUGGACAGGGUUCUUUUGGCUAUAUGGUGAAUGGAAGUGACCAUAGAUGAAGGAUAAGAACCUCUGCAGUACUGUGUUCCCCAAUCCUAGCCUCUAAGCUAGUCCAGAUUGGUGAUAUCAAAACCUACUGAAAGAGGAAGGGGAGCAAGGAGAUAUGCAUAACCCCCAUCCUCUUCCUGCCAGAGAUCAUCCAUAAAUGUGAUCAAUACUAUCCUAGCUCCAUAUCUUAGUCUAAAACCUGCCCAGAAGUGAUCGAGAUAAGUCGCUUCCCCUGGGUAUCUUUGAAACUUUAGCAAAGCCACCUUCUGAACCACCUUCCUCUAACAACUCUAUAGAAAUUGGAACAAAUCUCAGUGAUUAUACCUGACAGAUACCUAACAUAAUUCUCACAAUGGCCCUCCAGGGAUAUAUCCAUCUCAUCCUGCCAAAGAGGAUCUGAGUCUACUUGAAUAGGGUUGUUGAUCAGCAGUUUAGAGGUAAAAUAAGGGUAGAAAAUGCACAUAUUCAAUUGCAUUUUAAAAACACAUAUAUUCAAUUGCAUUUUAAAUGGCCUAUCCCCAUUUAUUUCUCCUUGAGAAUUAAUGGCUAUAUAAGGUGCAAGAGACAAAGAUAUAUUCACACUUCCAGGUUGCUUGAAUAGAGUAUGGACCACCAAAGAUUUUGGAGGUCAGGAAUAGAUGAUAUCUUCUACUCACCUCCAGCCAUCUGCAAAUGUGAACCCCAUCAAUGCUUUUUUUGCUUCAAGUUUAAAAGAGUGUUUUUCUGACUUGUAUCAGUUCAGGUUUUAUUGUCUAGUUUGUCUGCUGCCUACUUUGUUCUAGGCAAAACCCAGUGACAGCAGUAUCUCAUUUUCCAAGGUUUUUCUCAAGAAGGUCUGCUGCAACUUCCAGUACUGGUCUUUCUCGGUGGUGUAGUGAUUUUACCACCUACUUGACAUGCAGAGCGUGCCAAUUUAAAACUCAGCAGAAAUGUUUGAAAGUUGCUUUCUUUGAGCUACUUUGCUGUUUUUAAACAGGUUAACUGGUGCAGUUUCAUGCUUUCAUGAUUUUUCAAGUCCCUUGUGGUAGGAAAAUUUCACCUCCAGCUCCCAAACAGUACACUUAGUUCACCUUUGCUGUUUCAAUAUUCUAAGCAUGUUCAUACUUGAAUCAGAUACCACUUAUAAAUCUGAGGUCAUAUUGUAACUAGAGGUCAUGCUAAGUUUGAGAUAAUGUCUAGUUGUUAGUGUGCUUCAUUUUUAAACCACAAUGAUUCAUGGUAUUAAAGAAGAUAUGUGAGUAUUAACCACGGCAAGACUAGCUUUUGCUCAAAAAUGGAAGUGUAAAGAAAUAUCCUCAGAAGAAGAUGUAAUAAGCAAAAUAUACAACUGUGCAGAGAUGGACAGACUUACUUUAGAACUCAAAGAUAAAAGCGAAUCAAGAUACUAUGAGGUCUGGAGUAAAUUCUAUGACUGGCUUAAUAGGAGGAAGAAUGCCAAAAACAAGAGAUAAUGAAUGUCUGGAAACAUAUAUAUCAAUGUAUAUUGUACUUGUGAGGGUAUAAUAGAUUUAUUAAAUAUGUAUAUAGUUGUAGGGGUAGUAGUAAUAUAGUACAUACUUGAUAUAUAAGGAAUUAGGAGAUAUGUAAAUUUGUAUAUAGACUGAGGAAUAUAUGAUAUAGUAACUUGAACUUGAUGUAAAUGUUAGAAACCAGAGACGUAGAGCAAUGUCUAUUGUUUUUUGUUUGUUUUUAAAAUCAAUAAUA